UACGAAGGGGGCUAGCGUUGCUCGGAAUCACUGGGCGUAAAGCGCACGUAGGCGGAUUCCUAAGUCGGUGGUGAAAUCCUGGAGCUCAACUCCAGAACUGCUUCCGAUACUGAGAGUCUCCGAGUCCGGGAGAGGUGAGUGGAACUGCGAGUGUAGAGGUGAAAUUCGUAGAUAUUCGCAAGAACACCAGUGGCGAAGGCGGCUCACUGGCCCGGUACUGACGCUGAGGUGCGAAAGCGUGGGGAGCAAACAGG
rnacentral:rRNA from 1 species